AUACAGUACACCUUACUGUCGGCUGCUCGGAGCGUGUGCCUGAUUACAGUAAACCUUACUGUCGGCUGCUUGGAGUAUGUGCCUGAAUACAGUACACCUUGCUGUCGGCUGCUCGGAGCGUGUCCCCGAAUACAGUACACCUUGCUGUCAGCUGUCGGCAUCAUUGUUUUUUUUUUCAAUUAAAAAAGGUCACAAUUUACAAGCAAAAAUGUCUAGAUAGAAUGAUAAUAUUUUAUGGAUGCUAACAUUCCCUCCAUCUACUUAAAAAAAAAAAACCCAACCGUGUGAGACAUGACUGCUUUUCCUUGAGCCGGGCAGGCCAAGACGCUUAAUGACGCUCAUUACUCACCCCUCUCUGACGCGGGGGCCAGGUCAAUGAAGCUGCGACACUUCUCACCUGAGAGAGGGAGGAAGAGAGGAGAUAAACGAGGCAGGAAAAGAGGAAUGUGAAAAGGUACAAGGUGAGAUGAGCUGGGAAUGAAGCCGAGGGCGGAGGGGAACAGCGCCCUGACGGAGCGACGAACGGGAUGAGAUGAUGAGGGGAUGAGUUGCAGAACGAACAUGGGUGGAACACACUUGUAGCGUCGGCACUUGGCAAGGGGCGUGGCAAGGCCAGGCAUUUGAGACGGAUUGGCGGUUAGGCCAGAUGGAGGAUGCUUCGCUCACCGGCUCAUUUACUCCCAACAGGCACAAUAACAUGAUUAAAAGUCAACUCUGAACCCCCAACAUCACUUCCUGUCCGCCACCGAUUCCGCUCCUCUGGAAGGUAAACUGUCUUAAAUGCUUUAUUUUAUCUACUUUAUUGGAGAAUAGGCAUGUCAGGCUGACUAUAGGGGUGUUAUUUCUCGUGCAGAUGCCUCUAAUAAAGUUCUAGCUUAUUUAGAAGAUUGUAAAAAAAAGUGUUUCCCACAGGACUGCAAUGUAUUUGUGGAGGACACACGAGCAAAAAGGAGUACAAAAAGUACGAAAAGCAAAACAAAUAUGUUUAGAAACACAAAUCAACUUCCGCUGUCGACCAAGACGGACGAAGACGAAGAUCGUGCUGUCAUAACAGAAUUGCCAAAAGUCUCUAGAUAAGUCGCCAUUUUUGAGAAAGCGCCAUCUGGUUAUUCUCUGGCAGAGCGGGGUCAUCAGAGUUCCAGUGAGUUUAUGGUGAACAUCAUAGCGCCAAAUGGAGUCAAUGAAUGUUCGGGGAAACACCGCGGCCAGCCGAAGCAACAAAGUAUCCCAGCAGCGCGGUGAAGCUCAUCAGAGGAAGCAGUCAUCCAUCAUCUCCAAGGCUCCUGCGGGACACCGGAUGAGCUUUCAGGCCAUCACAGGACGGCGGAGGUGUUAAGGAACGUUUAAUCAUCCCUGAUUGGUCGUGUGAAGAGAGGCCUUUAGCUGUGGGUUCAUACCAGCAUGGGACAGGUACCCACUCUCACUUUUACAUGGUAAAUGGUCUUUCACCUUCAAGGAGCUCAAUGCACUCAGAUACUGCUAACAUCUACCUACCCAUGACGCAGCAUCAGGAGCGCCUGGGGGUUCCGUAUCUAAUGUUAUUAAACAUAUUUGGUUCGUAAAUCGGUUUUCCGUGCUCGACCUAUGAAAAUAUUUCUUUCAUAAAUCUUACGUGGCUUUUCGUGGUCGGGUCUGGAGUCAAGUCAGCAUCAUUUACUGUACAUUACAGGACCGCUUGUCACAGCUUUGAUGGGUGACGUUCCGAGAGUAAUAUGACCAGAA